AACAUCGCGCACCUGCGGGAACCUGCGGAAGGAUCAUUAUAGAAUCGAAAUAAAAACGUGAGAGAUGUUCAGCCCGAUUAUGGUCCUGCUCCGUUUCUCACAAAACCGCGCAAAACGGUUUUAUCCUUGUUUAUGAGCACUCCUGUUUCCUCGGCGGGUUCGCCCGCCGAUGGACCCACUGUUCAACGCUUAGGAUGCAAUCAGUGUUGUCUGAGCUAUAUAUGCAAAAACAUCAAAACU
rnacentral:misc_RNA from 1 species